GUUCUCAUACAAGAUUUAUUCCCCAGCACACCCCUCCCCUCCUCAGUUCACAGUGGAGACUAUGGAGAUUCAGGGCAGGAUCCCUCAGGUACAAGAAACACCUUCCGAAGAUUUUGCUCUCCUUCCUUCCCUCCCUCUUGCCAACUCCCAAGGCCUGAAGCGCACACUCAUGCAAACACACGAAAUCCCCCUCCUUCCCCACACCUCCUGUCUUUCCACAUCAGAGCUCUGAACUUGAGAGGUGUCAAAAGUCUGUUUGAGAAGCCUAAAGUGGGGAGAUGCCAUUACCCCUGACCACCCCACUAUGAGUGACUAUGAGACACCUAACUCUUCCCUCUUCUGUCAACCAUUUUCACUCCCUGGCCUCUGUACCUUCUCCAUCAACCAAGAGCAAACAUGUCAGCACACCCCCACCUGCAGUACAUGAAAACAGGCUCUGUCCAACAUCCCUCACCCAAGUACAGGGGUGUUGGGGGAGUGGCCCCUGAGGAUCAGCAAAGGGUUAAUGCAGAAGGAAAGAGGACAGAAGCGUUUGGCUUGAGCUCUGCUUGGGGAGGCAGAGGCUAUAGACUGGCACAGGUUUAGAAUCAAGUACCAUGUUUAGGUUUCUGUCUCACAUCACAUGAUUUCACUAGGGGCUGCAGAACAGAUACCCCUCAGAGGGGUCUCUGCUGAUUACAGCCACAUUCUUACUAUUGGCUCAUCCUUAAAGGAGGCCCCACCAAGUUGGGAAGCAGUUGAAAAUAAAAGCUGUAAAGGAGCUGAACAGGAAGUAAGAAUAGGUGGUGCAAGAGAUUAUGGCCCCUGGGAUGAAUGACAUGGAGCCAUUUGUAAAGUGCUACUGUAUCAUCCCCCAUGAAUUAUUGCUUCUCCAAAGGAGGAGCAGAGGAAGGAACAGGAACAUAGAAAUGAGUAUGGUAUUGCUUUGCUCACUGCUGAGGCUGAUGGCCAGAUGGACCCAGGGGUUAUCAGAAACCGAAGAUUAACUACACAGCUCCAGAAGACUCAGACCUCAAAAUACAGAGGUGCUCACUAAUCCUCCCAGCCAGCUGAUCCCCCUGGGCCAAGGUAAUGUAGAAGAGGCCCAUCCCCACAUCAUAUUCACAUUUUUUAAAUUUCACAAGCAAUACUUUGGACCACUGGGGUUCAGGCCCCAAGAAAUGA
rnacentral:lncRNA from 1 species